rnacentral:lncRNA from 1 species
AUGCAUUGGCACCAUCAGUAUCAACGUCCAGAAUGUCAAUGAUGAGAGUCCUGUUCUUGCAUCUGUACCAGAUGCACCUAUAAAUAUUUAUGAAAAUCUCUCUGUUGGAACAAAGCUGGUCACAUUGACAGCGACUGAUCGAGACAUAGGGGACUCAGUACAUUAUGAGCUUAUAGGGACACAAAAAGAAUUUUCUAUAAAUGAAGGUAAAUAAUAAUUUUAUGGAGAAUGAUUUUAUAAAAUAUAUUAAACAGUGUUUUUUAACUAGUGAAAAAUAAACCUGAUUAUUAAGAUGAAACAAUCUUUAAAAUAUUUAGCAGCAUACUUAGCAUAUUUUCAUGAGGUAGAAAUGAUUAUUUCUUCCUUCUCAGAAGUAUGGAAAUGGUUGGUAUAAUCUGGCUGCUACAGGAAGCUCCCAAACAAUUCAAAC